rnacentral:rRNA from 1 species
CAGUCGCCACGGGAAUACGAGGGGGGCAAGCGUUGUUCGGAAUUAUUGGGCGUAAAGAGCUCGUAGGCGGUUUGUCGCGUCUGCCGUGAAAGUCCGGGGCUCAACCCCGGAUCUGCGGUGGGUACGGGCAGACUAGAGUGAUGUAGGGGAGACUGGAAUUCCUGGUGUAGCGAUGAAAUGCGCAGAUAUCAGGAGGAACACCGAUGGCGAAGGCAGGUCUCUGGGCAUUAACUGACGCUGAGGAGCGAAAGCAUGGGGAGCGAACAGGAUUAGAUACCCGCGUAGUCCCUGUCUCUUAUAC